AUUGAACGCUGGCGGCAGGCCUAACACAUGCAAGUCGAACGAGUGGCGGACGGGUGAGUUAUGUCUGGGAAACUGCCUGCUGGAGGGGGAUAACUACUGGAAACGGUAGCUAAUCCCGCAUACCAUCAGAUGUGCCCAGAUGGGAUUGGCUAGUUGGUGGGGUAACGGUUCACCAAGGCGACGGUCCCUAGCUGGUCUGAGAGGAUGACCAGCGACACUGGAACUGAGACACGGUCCAGAUCCCUACGGGAGGCAGCAGGGGGGAAUAUUGCACAAUGGGCGCAAGCCUGAUGCAUCCAUGCCGGGUGUAUGAAGAAGGCCUUCGGGUUGUAAAGUACUUUCAGCGGGGAGGCGGUACCCGCAGAAGAAGCACCGGCUAACUCCGUGCCAGCAGCCGCGGUAAUUC
rnacentral:rRNA from 1 species